AACAGCUCAGUAACUCUUAUUUUAUUUGAUGUAUUAGGAUUAUAACUAUGUUAAAUUAUAGAUAACAAUAAUACAAUAAGAAUAAGAUCUAUCAGUUAGUUGUUAAGGUAAUGGCUUAACAAGACUAUGACGGAUAACGGUAUUACUUUGUAAUAUUCCGGAGAAGGAGCCUGAGAGAUUGCUACUAAGUCUAAGGAUUGCAGCAGGGGCGAAACUUGACCUAUGAUAUGAUAUUGAGGCAGUUAUGAGUAGUAUUUUUAAUUAUUGUAGUAUUGUAAGUAUAUACUACAAGAUAAAUCGGAGGGCAAAUCGAGUGCCAGCAGCCGCGGUAAUACUUGUUCCGAUAGUGUGUAUGAUGAUUGAUGCAGUUAAAAAGUCUGUAGUUUAUUAUUAAUAAGCAUUGUGAGGUAUAUUGUAUGGUUAGGAGAGAGAUGAAAUGUGAUAACCCUAACUGGAUGAACAGAAGCGAAAGCUAUAUACUUAAAUGUUUUAUUAGAACAAGGACGUAAGCUAGAGGAUCGAAGAUGAUUAGAUACCAUUGUAGUUCUAGCAGUAAACUAUGUUAAAUCAUAGAUACAUUAUUAAUAUGUAUUUAUGUAAAGAAAUUAAGAUUAUAUUGACUCUGGGGAUAGUAUGAUCGCAAGAUUGAAAAUUAAAGAAAUUGACGGAAGAAUACCACAAGGAGUGGAUUGUGCGG
rnacentral:rRNA from 1 species